GGGUGAGUAACGCGUGGGUAAUCUACCCUUGGAUUUGGGAUAACUCUGCGAAAGUGGAGCUAAUACCGGAUAGUCUGGCUUUAAAUAAGAAGUCGGUAAAGGAUGCCUCUGCAUAUGCAUUCGUCCGAGGAUGAGCCCGCGUCUCAUUAGCUAGUUGGUAGGGUAAUGGCCUACCAAGGCAACGAUGAGUAGCUGGUCUGAGAGGAUGAUCAGCCACACUGGAACUGAAACACGGUCCAGACUCCUACGGGAGGCAGCAGUGGGGAAUAUUGCGCAAUGGGCGAAAGCCUGACGCAGCAACGCCGUGUGAGGGAUGAAGGCUUUCGGGUCGUAAACCUCUGUCGGAAGGGAAGAACGGGCAUUGGUCUAAUAGGCCUUUGUUUUGACGGUACCUUUAGAGGAAGCACCGGCUAACUCCGUGCCAGCAGCCGCGGUAAUACGGAGGGUGCAAGCGUUAUUCGGAAUUACUGGGCGUAAAGCGCACGUAGGCGGCCUUGUAAGUCAGGGGUGAAAUCCCACGGCUCAACCGUGGAACUGCCUUUGAAACUGCAGGGCUUGAAUCCUGGAGAGGGUGGCGGAAUUCCUGGUGUAGGAGUGAAAUCCGUAGAUAUCAGGAGGAACACCGGUGGCGAAGGCGGCCACCUGGACAGGUAUUGACGCUGAGGUGCGAAAGUGUGGGGAGCAAACAGGAUUAGAUACCCUGGUAGUCCACACCGUAAACGAUGGAUACU
rnacentral:rRNA from 1 species